AGUUCAGGUAGAGGCGCGAAAUUCAAGAGUAUUUAUAAUUGUAAAAGCAGAUUAGGUUAUAAAAAAAGGGGAUUUUGCCGAAGUAUUGUAAUGAUUGCUUUAAAUUACAAUACUGGUUAUAUACAUAAUAUGUAUAUAAUUGUCACAACAUAGUUGUGGGGUGCUAUCAUUCUA
rnacentral:ncRNA from 2 species